AGGUCUCCUGCAUCGCAGGCAGAUUCUUAACCAUAUGAGGCACCAGGGAAGCCCCUGAGACAUCAUUAAAACCCCCCAAUACAAAGGAAUAUGUUAGGUAACAGAAUUGUAACAGCUAAGGGCUUCAGGGUAGUUGCUCUGCGCCACCGACUCUGUUACCAGGCAAACAGGUACCAUUAGUGGCUGAGCCAUUGGUCAGCGCCGCAGUGGGCCCCUCCCCCAAGUGACCAACUGUCAGUGAGCGGCCGUUAGUGGCCCUGCUCAGCCAUUGGUCAGUGCUGCAGUUGGCCCCACCCACAAACAAGCAACUGUCAAUAGAUGACCGUUAGUGGCCCAUGCAGCCAAAGAUUGGUGGAGCAGUGGCUGUCAAGUGGAGAAUCAGUGUCCACUUGGAGGAAAGAGGGAGUCUAUUUCCAAGGAGACCUUCGCGGACCACUAGGAGAGUCAGUCCCGCGGAGCGCCUGCAGGGGGCGGUCGACAUCGUGAAAUGAACAGACGGCGCUGGCUGCCCUGGGGGUCCCGGGCCUGCUGCAGGACAAGCCUGGGAGACCAAUAUGCAAGAAAGGGGGCCUUCUAGAAAAUCCAAGAAUGAUCAAACUGCUGAACAGACCAGAGGGAUCACGAGUGAGGCCAGAUUCCCCAUUUCACAGAGGAGAAAACUGAGCAGAGCUCAACUUCUUUCCACCUAACUCACACUGACCCACGAGAACCUCGGCAGAAACUUUUUUCACAAAACACCCAACCUACUUCCCAGCUGAAUGGACCCUCUUCAUCCUCUCUGGGAAAAUAGCCAGGCUGCCCACAGUGCAAGAAACGCUCACUCUAUCAAGCUACUUCCUCAAACCUGUUUAUGUUAGUCUAACUUGGUGUUACAAUUAUGUAAUUAAAUUAAAUAUUAUAGAGUGUUGGAAUAUGAA